GGGGGUGUAUGGUUUUGACAGCAACGAUCUUUGAAAGUAUAAGCAUGCCGAGCGUUGGAUAGUCAGCUCGUAAAUCUGAAUAUUCAAAACACAAAUGGCAAUACUCAGUAUGCCAUGGCUGCCUAAUCAGUGAUUUAGCAGUCAUUAGGGCCGCCGCGCAGGUUCACCUAUUUCCAUGUGCUGCCGCCGACUCAAACCAAAAUAGGUUGCUGCAACAGAAUGUUGUGACUGUUGCUUAAGAACAUUCAACUAAGGAUUUCAUUGGUUUGUUCAGUUCCGGUGAAGUUUCGACAAUCAAUUCUGAAAUAAGCAUGUAGAAAGCUUUUGAAUAUCUUGUUUGGACACCGGUUCGAAUCCGGUCACCUCCACAU
rnacentral:tmRNA from 1 species